rnacentral:rRNA from 1 species
CACGUAGGGGGCGAGCGUUGUCCGGAUUUAUUGGGCGUAAAGAGCUCGUAGGCGGCUCAGUAAGUCAGGUGUGAAAACUCCAGGCUCAACCUGGAGACGCCACUUGAUACUGCUGUGGCUAGAGUCCGGUAGGGGAGCAUGGAAUUCCUGGUGUAGCGGUGAAAUGCGCAGAUAUCAGGAGGAACACCAGUGGCGAAGGCGGUGCUCUGGGCCGGAACUGACGCUGAGGUGCGAAAGCGUGGGGAGCGAACAGG